ensembl:lncRNA
UGAACAGGAUAGGCCGUCUUUAUUUAGUUCAAUAGAUCAAAAACACAAAAUCGCUCCAUUAGGAGGAAAAACACAAAAACUACAAAGAGGCUUGAGGAACUGAAUCCAUAAACUGAAACUAGAAUCGUCCAGGCCAGGCCGAGGGCCACCGAGUCUAAGGCGACGGGCCCCGGUAGGUGAAUGGUCGGUACCCUCCAGCACCGGGGAAAGGGAGCCGCAGACUAUAAGACACAUGAGGGCAAUGGGAAACAGUUGGACACAAUCAGGGACCAGGGCAGACGAUUCGACUGGCGACACAUGAGGGGCAAGUGACCUGAAACGAGAGAGGGGUUAAUCUUUCAAAAUAAGACAGGAAAUGACAAGACAAGGCACGGAGACGAGAAAACCCCAACUAGAUCUCACCGCGGUGUGACAUUAGGGGGUAAAGGAUCAGUACUGAUAUUCCAGUUAUAUAAUAAGUACUUUUACUUAUACAAAUGAAUAUAGCCGAUAACACCUUAUUAUUCUUACCUGAAGCCUAAGAAACUGGGCCUCGCUGGGCAGUUUUUAAGAUGGACGUUUGUUAUUAUUGAGGUCGAGGCUGCGAUUCAUAAAGGCACAGUUAUAGAAUCCUCAUAUGAUUUCACAGGAACAUUCAAAUUCCAGUCUACACAAACACGUAUAUAAUCAGGAUACUGUUGCACUCACAGUGUGUGUUUCUUCAUUCUACCACUGGGAGGUGCUAAAGGUUUAAAGUCCAAGUCCAACACCCGGAAGCUGCAGAUCCUCCUUGCUGCUUUGUUUUAGGGCUGUGAAUACACAAUACACAUACAGACACACACACACACACACACCAAUCCCAAGUGUGUUUUUGUUGUGCUUUUGGUUUCAACCAGUCAACAAGUCUCUCCGCCGGCUUCAAUCAAACAAAAUAAUUGUGCUGUAAUAACUUAAAAUGAUCAUAAACCCUUUGAAAUGAUUUUAAAAUGACGAUGCUUUCACUCCAAAGGCCAGAGGAACGAUCCUUCUGUAUCAGCUUUCAUGAAAACACUGUUUUAUGCAGCAUUGAAAGGUGAAGACAACGAGGAGGUCACUUAAACAGUCUCUCUACCUGCCAGCAGGUGGGGACUCCUCUGCAAAAAUAAGAUGACCAAACUUAACAAAUCUAGUUUAAAGUCUUCUUCAAUACAGCUUAAUGUUCAUUUGGUUAAUUAUGCUCUCAAAAUAGUCCAAAAAAAAUCUGGGUGUGUUUUGGGGCGGGGCUAACCUGUGACUGACAGGUUGCUACAAGAGCCAUACACGUCUCAACGUCACUUCAAAUAUGAUUUAUUCUGUUGUUCACUGAUGUUAAGGUAUCAAAAUCAACCUGCUAGCAAGUCUAAAGCUGACUAAUAAACAAUAAUUCAUAUAUGUUUGAUCCAUGCGUGGUUCACAUACACUCUUUUUUAAAGUAUUGCACGUAAUGUAAAUAGCUAUUCAAAUGUGAAUAAAGUUUCUUUAAGCGUCCAUUUCUUUCGACGGGCCUCCUGUCGGUCUCUCUGCUCAUCUAAAUCCCCCUUUGUUCACGUCCGCGGACCCACAAACGUACGACUCUCACCUCUACACACAUUUCACCGCAGCGACUGUUUCAGGUGACUGACACCUGGGAGCGCUCCAAAGCAAAGACUGCGAUUGCGAAAGCGGCGGUGAAGUCGCUAUCGCCUGUGUUAAAACACUUGGCAGUGUUUUAGUGUCCUCUGUCCGUCCGUCAAAGGCUCUGAGUUCAACUCCGGCGCUGAAAGACAAACAAGACGGCAAUUCUGAAUCUGUGGCAGCGUUUGAGAGGCCGAGGAGGCAAACGUGUGGCGGUCUGUGUACGGCAACACACAGCAGGUGUAGACUGGGUGGUGAUGAAAUAUAUUUCACACUGUAGAUUUACUUAAGUCAAACAUGUAUGUUUAUUGUUGAUAAUACUAUACUGUUUUUGUGUUUAUUAAAAAAUGAACAGAGGUUAGCCUCCCUAAUGAAGAGGACACUGUGAUCAAAUACCAUUUUAAUUGAUGAAAAGAAGGAAGAAGCAGUGAUGUCAGGAGCUUGGUGAGCAUGGAAAAUGUGUUAAAAAAGAGUCCGAUGACCAUUCGUCCUCAUUCAGGAACCGUAAAUAUCCGAAAGAUGACAAGAGGCCGCCGUCUGGUCAGGGGUUAUCGCUGACUUGACGUGAAGUUUGAUCUAUUUACUUUUUAAAAUUCCUUUAUUUCAGAAAACAUCUCCACGCUCGGUUUACGUUUGUCUCUUCUUCAGGGAAGCAGCACAAAUACAGUUACAAUGCGCACAACAAAUAUGACUGAGUGUGAAAAAGGAGCGUGAGUCUGCGGCCUGAUUAGUGUGAUGCAACACGCCGGGCCGCGCGCGUCCAACGAAUGGAACAGCGGGUUCACGACGAGCCGAGAAAAUCCUCCAAUUGCACAAAACCGGAGGGCAACCGCCCAAGUACACACACGCACGCAGCUGCCAAGAAGCGCACAGGUAUUUGAUCAGGUCAUGUUGACAGAUUGACCCUUUAAUGACAAACAGACGGACAUCUCCUCCCGGCGCCUCGGGAGGUCGGCAGAGCGCAGGGCCCCGACUUCCUCCUGCGGGCCGUUAAUAAAGAGCACAGCUCGGGUCAAAAGGAAUAAACGAGCUGCGGGAGACGCACACACACACACACACACACACACACACACACACCUUGCGUCACCGGGUUUGUCAUUCCUGUUUUUGUUUUUCGUACCAUAGAUGGAAGGCACGGACGUAAUGUUUUUAUGACCCCGUGACCCUUUGAGCCUAAAGCCCGAUAAGGCCUGGACAUGUUUUACUCAGGUUCCUUUGAGCAACUGAUUCACUGUAAAGAAAGACAACGGGUACGUUACGUAUUGUAUUGAUCUGCUGAUCAACGGUUUAAUAAACACAUCUCCAAAAGUUAAAACAAAGGUACUCAUUUAUUUAAGAUUAAAGGGGUAAUAGAAGAUUUAACAUUUUUGUUUCAUUCAAAUAUGUUUUUAAUUUGUCAUUACGGGGACUAUUUGCAUUAUUUAAUAACAGAAAAGUUGGUGUUUCAAUUCAACCAAUAAAGUCUAUAAAAUGUUAUUGUGAUUACCUUCUGAAGCCUCUUUAUAUGAAUGUCUCUUCCCCUUUGUUAGUUAAUAAUAUAUUAAUCAUCAUUUAACACAGGAAUACAGGAGUGAAGCGGUAUCGUGCGUUAUUUCAGGGUAUUCAACUCUCAACUCACAGAAAUCUCUUGAGGAAAAAAAACACUCGUAAGUUCAUUUGUGACCUUGAAAACAGAAAUCAUUACUCUUACUUUCUCAUCUCAUAUUUGUUCUGUUGCUUUUGUGAAACUCGCCUUGUUUCCGGAGCCUUUGCCCACUUCCCACUUCGUCUUCAUCGGCAUUCGCAGUUUGUUAAGUUGCGGCGGACCUUUCGAUGUUUUGACUUUUUCAAAAACAUGGAUGGGACGAGGUCGUCAACAGAUUCACGUCAACUGAGUGACCUCACUCUGCUGAUGAAG